GACGAACGCUGGCGGCGUGCUUAACACAUGCAAGUCGAACGGAAAGGCCUGCUUUCCCUUGUGGAUUGCGGGUACUCGAGUGGCGAACGGGUGAGUAACACGUGAGUGAUCUGCCCCCAACUUGGGUAUAAGCCUGGGAAACUGGGUCUAAUUCCCGAUAGGACUGCAGGGUGGUGCCUGUGGUGGAAAACGAUUUUCUAGUGGUUGGGGAUGAGCUCGCGGCCUAUCAGCUUGUUGGUGGGGUAAUGGCCUACCAAGGCGGCGACGGGUAGCCGGCCUGGGAGGGUGGACGGCCACAUUGGGACUGGGAUACGGCCCAGACUCCUACGGGAGGCAGCAGUAGGGAAUAUUGCACAAUGGGCGGAAGCCUGAGGCAGCGACGCCGCGUGGGGGAUGACGGCCUUCGGGUUGUAAACUCCUUUCGACCGCGAGGAAGCCACCUGGUUGGAAGGGUGGUGACGGUAGUGGUAGAAGAAGCACCGGCUAACUACGUG
rnacentral:rRNA from 1 species